UACAGAGGUCUCAAGCGUUGUUCGGAUUCAUUGGGCGUAAAGGGUGCGUAGGUGCGGCCGUAGUGGAUGGUGAAUUACGUGCGUAACUCCGAAACUGCAUUCGAUACUGCGGUGCUUGAGGACUGGAGAGGAGACUGGAAUUCAUGGUGUAGCAGUGAAAUGCGUAGAGAUCAUGAGGAAGACCAGUGGCGAAGGCGGGUCUCUGGACAGUUCCUGACACUGAGGCACGAAGGCCAGGGAGCAAACGGG
rnacentral:rRNA from 1 species